rnacentral:rRNA from 1 species
GACGAAGGAUGCAAGCGUUAUCCGGAUUCAUUGGGUUUAAAGGGUGCGUAGGCGGCCAGAUAAGUCAGUGGUGAAAUCUCCUUGCUUAACAAGGAAACUGCCAUUGAUACUGUUUGGCUUGAGUAUAGUUGCUGUGGGCGGAAUAUGACAUGUAGUGGUGAAAUACAUAGAGAUGUCAUAGAACACCGAUUGCGAAGGCAGCUCGCAAAACUAUAACUGACGCUGAGGCACGAAAGUGCGGGGAUCAAACAGG